UACGGGGGAGCAAGCGUUGUUCGGAUUACUGGCGUAAAGGGCGCGUAGGCGGUCAGCACAAGUCAGUUGUGAAAUCUCCGGGCUUAACUCGGAAAGGUCAACUGAUACUGUGCGACUAGAGUGCAGAAGGGGCAACUGGAAUUCUCGGUGUAGCGGUGAAAUGCGUAGAUAUCGAGAGGAACACCUGCGGCGAAGGCGGGUUGCUGGGCUGACACUGACGCUGAUGCGCGAAAGCCAGGGAGCGAACGGG
rnacentral:rRNA from 1 species